GAGCUCUCAGGAUGGCACCUGCAGAGUUUCCAGCCUUCUACCAGUCUCAGCUAUGGGAGAGAGAGUCAAGUAGAGGCCUACCCAUUCCAUUCCUAGUUCGGGCAGUGGCUAGCGAGUGGAAGGCAAUCUGCUACAAGU